rnacentral:rRNA from 1 species
GACGAACGCUGGCGGCAUGCCUAAUACAUGCAAGUCGAGCGGGGUGUUUUUGAAAGCUUGCUUUCAAAAACACUUAGCGGCGGACGGGUGAGUAACACGUAGGCAACCUGCCUUCUAGUCUGGGAUAACUUCCGGAAGCGGAUGCUAAUACCGGAUACAUCAUCUUUUGGCCUCGGAGGAUGAGGAAAGACGGCGCAAGCUGUCCCUCUAAGAUGGGCCUGCGGCGCAUUAGCUAGUUGGUGGGGUAAUGGCUCACCAAGGCGACGAUGCGUAGCCGACCUGAGAGGGUGAACGGCCACACUGGGACUGAGACACGGCCCAGACUCCUACGGGAGGCAGCAGUAGGGAAUCUUCCACAAUGGGCGAAAGCCUGAUGGAGCAAUGCCGCGUGAGUGAUGAAGGUUUUCGGAUCGUAAAGCUCUGUUGCCAGGGAAGAACGUCCGGGUGAGUAACUGCACCCGGAGUGACGGUACCUGAGAAGAAAGCCCCGGCUAACUACGUGCCAGCCGCCGCAGUAAGAC